CCCCCUACGGGACGCAGCAGUGGGGAAUAUUGGGCAAUGGGCGCAAGCCUGACCCAGCAACGCCGCGUGAAGGAAGAAGGCUUUCGGGUUGUAAACUUCUUUUCUGAGGGACGAAGAAAGUGACGGUACCUCAGGAAUAAGCCACGGCUAACUACGUGCCAGCAGCCGCGGUAAUACGUAGGUGGCAAGCGUUAUCCGGAUUUAUUGGGUGUAAAGGGCGUGUAGGCGGGAAAGCAAGUCAGAUGUGAAAACUCAGGGCUCAACCCUGAGCCUGCAUUUGAAACUGUU
rnacentral:rRNA from 1 species